UACGUAGGUGGCAAGCGUUGUCCGGAAUUAUUGGGCGUAAAGCGCGCGCAGGUGGUUUCUUAAGUCUGAUGUGAAAGCCCACGGCUCAACCGUGGAGGGUCAUUGGAAACUGGGGAACUUGAGUGCAGGAGAGAAGAGUGGAAUUCCACGUGUAGCGGUGAAAUGCGUAGAGAUGUGGAGGAACACCAGUGGCGAAGGCGACUCUUUGGCCUGUAACUGACGCUGAGACGCGAAAGCGUGGGGAGCAAACAGG
rnacentral:rRNA from 1 species